rnacentral:misc_RNA from 1 species
GAUGAAGAACGCAGCGAAAUGCGAUAAGUAAUGUGAAUUGCAGAAUUCAGUGAAUCAUCGAAUCUUUGAACGCACAUUGCGCCCGCCAGUAUUCUGGCGGGCAUGCCUGUCCGAGCGUCAUUUCAACCCUCGAACCCCUCCGGGGGGUCGGCGUUGGGGAUCGGCCCUGCCUCUUGGCGGUGGCCGUCUCCGAAAUACAGUGGCGGUCUCGCCGCAGUCUCUCCUGCGCAGUAGUUUGCACACUCGCAUCGGGAGCGCGGCGCGUCCACAGUCGUUAAACACCCAACUUCUGAAAUGUUGACCUCGGAUCAGGUAGGAAUACCCGCUGAACUUAAGCAUAUCAAUAAGCGGAGGA